GGCAUUAAGAACCUGUCCAUGGUCUAUGAUUUGCCCGAUUUGGAAAAACGAUAAAACGAUAAAACGUUGUUGGUGAUGCUAGCACGCGAUCGCAAUCCGUAAGAAAUCAGAAAAGUUAUUGAUCGAUACCUCCCGUUGAGCGAGCAAAAAAGGAUUGUUGGAAAAAGAUUGAGGGUGUGUUCGUGCAGAAGGGGUAUGUCCGUUUAUAAAUGGUCAAACAAUUAAACUGUCGGAAAUUUGAUUUAGAAUAAAAUAUAAUACCCAUUU
rnacentral:lncRNA from 1 species